ACGAGAAGCUUGCUUCUCUGAUGUUAGCGGCGGACGGGUGAGUAACACGUGGAUAACCUACCUAUAAGACUGGGAUAACUUCGGGAAACCGGAGCUAAUACCGGAUAAUAUUUUGAACCGCAUGGUUCAAAAGUGAAAGACGGUCUUGCUGUCACUUAUAGAUGGAUCCGCGCUGCAUUAGCUAGUUGGUAAGGUAACGGCUUACCAAGGCAACGAUGCAUAGCCGACCUGACAGGGUGAUCGGCCACACUGGAACUGAGACACGGUCCAGACUCCUACGGGAGGCAGCAGUAGGGAAUCUUCCGCAAUGGGCGAAAGCCUGACGGAGCAACGCCGCGUGAGUGAUGAAGGUCUUCGGAUCGUAAAACUCUGUUAUUAGGGAAGAACAUAUGUGUAAGUAACUGUGCACAUCUUGACGGUACCUAAUCAGAAAGCCACGGCUAACUACGUGCCAGCAGCCGCGGUAAUACGUAGGUGGCAAGCGUUAUCCGGAAUUAUUGGGCGUAAAGCGCGCGUAGGCGGUUUUUUAAGUCUGAUGUGAAAGCCCACGGCUCAACCGUGGGGGGUCAUUGGAAACUGGAAAACUUGAGUGCAGAAGAGGAAAGUGGAAUUCCAUGUGUAGCGGUGAAAUGCGCAGAGAUAUGGAGGAACACCAGUGGCGAAGGCGACUUUCUGGUCUGUAACUGACGCUGAUGUGCGAAAGCGUGGGGAUCAAACAGGAUUAGAUACCUGGUAGUCCACGCCGUAAACGAUGAGUGCUAAGUGUUAGGGGGUUUCCGCCCCUUAGUGCUGCAGCUAACGCAUUAAGCACUCCGCCUGGGGAGUACGACCGCAAGGUUG
rnacentral:rRNA from 1 species